CCUACGGGUGGCAGCAGUGAGGAAUAUUGGUCAAUGGACGAGAGUCUGAACCAGCCAAGUAGCGUGAAGGAUGACUGCCCUAUGGGUUGUAAACUUCUUUUAUCUGGGAAUAAAAUGUUCCACGUGUGGGAUUUUGUAUGUACCAUAUGAAUAAGGAUCGGCUAACUCCGUGCCAGCAGCCGCGGUAAUACGGAGGCUCCGAGAGUUAUCCGGAUUUAUUGGGUUUAAAGGGAGCGUAGGUGGAUUGUUAAGUCAGUUGUGAAAGUUUGCGGCUCAACCGUAAAAUUGCAGUUGAAACUGGCAGUCUUGAGUACAGUAGAGGUGGGCGGAAUUCGUGGUGUAGCGGUGAAAUGCUUAGAUAUCACGAAGAACUCCGAUUGCGAAGGCAGUUCACUGGACUGCAACUGACACUGAGGCUCGAAAGUGUGGGUAUCAAACAGGAUUAGAUACCCCUGUAGUC
rnacentral:rRNA from 1 species